UACGUAGGCAGCAAGCGUUGUUCGGAAUUACUGGGCGUAAAGAGUGUGUAGGCGGUUGUUUAAGUUUGGUGUGAAAUCUCCCGGCUCAACUGGGAGGGUGCGCCGAAUACUGAAUGACUUGGAGUGCGGGAGAGGAGAGUGGAAUUCCUGGUGUAGCGGUGAAAUGCGUAGAUAUCAGGAGGAACACCGGUGGUGUAGACGGCUCUCUGGACCGUAACUGACGCUGAAACACGAAAGCGUGGGUAGCAAACAGG
rnacentral:rRNA from 1 species